AAGUCAACUGUUAAAUCUUGAAGCUUAACUUCAAAAUCGCAGUCGAAACUAUUAGACUAGAGUAUAGUAGAGGUAAAGGGAAUUUCCAGUGGAGCGGUGAAAUGCGUAGAUAUUGGAAAGAACACCAAUGGCGAAGGCACUUUACUGGGCUAUUACUAACACUCAGAGACGAAAGCUAGGGUAGCAAAUGGGAUUAGAUACCCCAGUAGUCCUAGCUGUAAACAAUGGAUACUAGGUGUUGACCAGAUUGAACUGUGCAGUACCAAAGCUAACGCGUUAAGUAUCCCGC
rnacentral:rRNA from 1 species